rnacentral:rRNA from 1 species
CCUACGGGUGACAGCAGUAGGGAAUCUUCCACAAUGGGCGAAAGCCUGAUGGAGCAACGCCGCGUGGGUGAAGAAGGUCUUCGGAUCGUAAAACCCUGUUGUUAGAGAAGAAAGUGCGUGAGAGUAACUGUUCACGUUUCGACGGUAUCUAACCAGAAAGCCACGGCUAACUACGUGACAGCAGCCGCGGUAAUACGUAGGUGGCAAGCGUUAUCCGGAUUUAUUGGGCGUAACGGGAACGCAGGAGGUCUUUUAAGUCUGAUGUGAAAGCCUUCGGCUUAACCGGAGUAGUGCAUUGGAAACUGGGAGACUUGAGUGCAGAAGAGGAGAGUGGAACUCCAUGUGUAGCGGUGAAAUGCGUAGAUAUAUGGAAGAACACCAGUGGCGAAAGCGGCUCUCUGGUCUGUAACUGACGCUGAGGUUCGAAAGCGUGGGUAGCAAACAGGAUUAGAUACCCUAGUAGUC